UAGUUUACGUUUCAGUCCUUCAAUAUCUGAUUCACCAGGUCUUAUGCGGCCACCAGGAAGCUUAAAGAUGAAAUUUUUUAGUUGCAGUAGCAAAAGAUGAGGAUGUUUGAACAAUUCAACCAAAAUAACAGCCUCCACGCACGUCCUCAAUCCAUGAGCAUGAUAGUUUGAUUUCAUCCUCUGGGCACGAUCAGCUAAAGUCUCUUCCUUGAAUGGAAGAGGGUCUUUGGAUCCAAAGUAGUAGCUACUAAGAGGGUAUAUGUCUAUUAGAAAGCCUUGAUCACUGCUAGUUUCAUGGUUGUCAUUUAAAAGUAUUUGAUCACCCAUCUUGAAUUGCCUGAGAAAUAAC
rnacentral:misc_RNA from 1 species